GCUGGGUAUGGUGGUGCACACCUGUUAUCCCAGUGGCUUGGGAGGCUGAGGCAGGAGGAUCCUGAGUUCAAAGCCAGCCUCAUCAAAAGCGAGGCACUAAACUACUCAGUAGACCCUGUCUCUA
rnacentral:sRNA from 1 species